rnacentral:rRNA from 1 species
UGACCGCGACCCCAGGUCAGACGGGACUACCCGCUGAGUUUAA